rnacentral:rRNA from 1 species
CCCUUAGAUGUUCUGGGCCGCACGCGCGCUACACUGACGGAGGCAGCGAGCAUGUCCUUCGCCGAGAGGUGUGGGGAAUCUUGUGAGUCUCCGUCGUGCUGGGGAUAGAUGGUUGCAAUUAUCAAUCUUGAACGAGGAAUUCCUAGUAAAAAUAUUUCAUCAUAAUGUUUUGAUUGUGUCCCUGCCCUUUGUACACACCGCCCGUCGCUCCUACCGAUUGAAUGGUCCGGUGAAGCCUCGGGAUUGCGAAUGCUUCGUGCGGACGCGAGAACUUGGCUAAACCUUACCAUUUAGAGGAAGGUGAAGUCGUAACA